GUGUCAGCAGCCGCGGUAACACGUAGGGGCCGAGCGUUGUCCGGAGUUACUGGGCGUAAAGCGCGCGCAGGCGGUUUCGCGCAUCCGUGGUGAAAGCCCCGCGCUCAACGCGGGAGAGUCCAAGGAGAUGGCGAGACUGGAGGCAGGGCGAGGCCGGUGGAAUUCCGGGUGUAGUGGUGAAAUGCGUAGAGAUCCGGAGGAACACCAGUGGCGUAGGCGGCCGGCUGGACCUGUCCUGACGCUGAGGCGCGAAGGCGUGGGGAGCGAACGGGAUUAGAUACCCGGGUAGUCC
rnacentral:rRNA from 1 species